UCUAUGGAGAGUUUGAUCCUGGCUCAGGACGAACGCUGGCGGCGUGCCUAAUACAUGCAAGUCGAGCGGAGAUUUGAAAAGCUUGCUUUUCAAAUCUUAGCGGCGGACGGGUGAGUAACACGUGGGCAACCUGCCCUUGAGACGGGGAUAACUCCGGGAAACCGGAGCUAAUACCGGAUAACACAUAUCUUCGCAUGAGGAUAUGUUAGAAGGUGGCUUUUA
rnacentral:rRNA from 1 species